rnacentral:lncRNA from 1 species
AUUGAGAAAGCACUAAGUGUGUGGAAUUAUUAUAGCUUUGGCUAAUCUUUAAAGCACUAAGUGUGCAGAUGUUUAAAGCAUUGGUAAUCUUUGGAAAGUCUUAAAAUAUCCGAACAAGAGAUGAAAAUGAAAAUAAAUGAAUACAGAAAUGUUCAGGUAAGUUUAAUACGUAUGUGGUAGAUGGUAUUAUGCAUAUAAAGUUUAUUUAAUUGGUGUAAAUGUAUGGAUGAUGUUGGCAUGAAAUUGAUAGAUGAGUAGAGAAUUUAUAAGUACUUUUGUGUUAUUGUUUCGUAUUUUAUAUACUGUUGUUGAUUUUGGG